GUGGCGGACGAGUGAGUAACACGUACCUAAUCUACCUAUAAGUGGGGAACAACCGCCCGAAAGGGUGGCUAAUACCGCAUGUGCUCUACGGAGUAAAGCUUUUGCGCUUAUAGAUGAGGGUGCGGCCUAUCAGCUAGUUGGUAAGGUAAAAGCUUACCAAGGCUAUGACGGGUAGCUGGUCNNNGAGGAUGAUCAGCCACGCUGGGACUGAGAUACGGCCCAGACUCCUACGGGAGGCAGCAAGUNGNNNUAUUGCACAAUGGGCGAAAGCNNGAUGCAGCGACACCGCGUGAAGGAUGAAGGUUUUCGGAUCGUAAACUUCUUUUAUNNNGCACCAAGAUAUGAGGGCUC
rnacentral:rRNA from 1 species